AUAUAUAUAUAUAUAUAUAUAUUUUAAUUUUAAUUUUUCUUCAUGUUUUGUGUUGUUAAUUCAUUUUGUGCAUCAAGGUUUCUUACGUUGUGUUGUUUUCCAGAUGUGAGUUUCACUUCUAACAUUUAAUCUGACCACUUCCUUCUCACUUUUAUUUUCCAAAUCAGAGUUUCAAUUUUAACAGUUUUGGAGCCGCGAUCUAUAACUCUUCAUUAAUGUUGCUGCUUAAUUUUUGUUUUUUUAGAUUUAAUCUGACCACUUCCUUCUCACUUUUAUUUUUUAUUUUUCAGAAAUCUGACCACUUCCUUCUCACUUUUUCCGUUCAGAGUUUCACUCAACAAGUUUAAUCUGGCCACUUUCUUCUCAUUUUUAUUUUCUACACAACUACUUGUUUUUGUUCCUAGUUGUUCCAUACACUUAGUCUUACUCUCUUAUUAUUGAUGCGGUGAAACUUGGAAUUGGGACUUGGAUUUCUGAUUAGGUAACUAAGUAUCUCGUUUACCUUCCUUUAAUUUUUAGGUUUGGAUUUCAAUACUAAAACUCGGAUUGUUUUAGAUUGUUUGGGUUAGUUAUGAAAUUUUAUUCCAAGUAACACCUAAGUAAUUAAGUCUUAAAAUUUAAAUUCACAUAAAACAAAUUAGCCCAAAACUCAUGGGGUAAAGUUGAGCGGCAGGAGAAUUUGGCAUAAUUCGUUUUUGAAUUUGAAUUUCCAGACUUAAUUACAGAACAAAAAAAAGUGUUAGUUGGAAGAAAAUUUACUUAAUUACAUUACAAAAGUGUUAGUCGGAAGACAAUUAACUUUCCAACUUAUCCAUAAUGUAUAUGUUAAUUCAAAUAUAAUCCAAACAAUACGGACAAUAAGAGUUUGUAUUGAGAAGGUAGCAGAACUAGAAAAAAAGUCUCCCAUGCCGGAACUGGUGCUCAAGUAGGUAAUCGUGGUAAACAUAGACAUGCCGGAAUGGUAAAAGUAAUCUCCUAUCUAUUAUCUACCCAUUAUUAAACAAUGAACCAUUCUUCCUAUUGUGCCUUACCUAAAAAAAAUUUGCGCUACAACUUGGACAUUUUAGUAACUAGCAAAAUAAACAUUCACUUUAUCAUCUUUUCUGUCUGGAUGCCCCAAAUGUUCAUUUUAAUUGGUCCAGUUUAAAUUAUAUUUUUCCCUCAAGACAAUCUUACACUAAACAAAAGAAACAACAGUACACUCCAAGGACACUAAUUCCUCAGUCUCUAUUUUCUCUCUCUGCUCCCGUUUUCUCUUGUCUCUCUUUUCCCUCCAGUUCUCACCAUCACUCAGUCUCACCAUCACUCAGUCCUCACCAAAAUGGGCACAUUCCUCUGUCCUCACCAUCACUGAAAGUGUAGAACAUUACUCACUCUUCAUCUAAUGGGAAAUAUGUCUUCUCCUCCCACCUUCCUCACUCUCCUUCCUCUUCACCCUCUUCUCUCUCCACGGUAACUCUUCCUCAAUCUCUAUUCCUUUCUCCAAUUUUUCAAUUUCACUUUUUCAGUUCAAGCGAACGAAGUCAUUUCCGAAGACGGUUUCACCGUCACAACCGUUCUCGAUGGUCACAAGCUUCACAUAAACCCUUUCUCCGUUCUCCAACGACCCCAUUCCUCCGAGAUCUCAUCAUUGUUACUCCUCAAAUAGUACUUUCUACACUGUCCAAUCACCCAUUUCCCAAGAAAGUGUUUUCAAAAGGUUUUCUGGAAAUGGGUUGCUUGGGUAUGGUGAUGGUGAUGUGUGUUCCGCAAGGUUUUCCAAAUCUAAAAGCUUUGUUGUUCAUGUAAGAGGGAAUGUGUAUGUUGCUGAUAUGGUUAAUAAGGUGAUGGGGAAAAUCAGCACCAAUGGUAUGUUUCUACAUAAACUUUUCUAUGGCUUGGUUCUAUCUUUGGGUUUUAUCUAUUUAUACAUGAGGAUAUUUUAUCUUUUUCCUCAAUUUUAAUGUGUGCACUGUAGAACAUCAAAUGUAGUCUCUGUGUUUGAGAACAAAGGACAUAAGCUUAUUUCAUUUUACUUCUGUCAUUAGUCAUUGGUUUCAAGGUUUCUCAUUUGUUUAAAAUGAUGUUAUUUGUUUCAAGGUUUGUCAUAGAGAUAAUAGUAAAUUACAUGAACAACUUACUCAUUACAACUAAUUGAUUCCUACAAAGUGUUUAUGUAAAUUGGAGUGAGACUUGGACCAAAGUGGUAAAACAAUUUGUUGAAGUUGACUUAUUAUGGUUUUACAUGAGAUUUAGCUUUCCAAAGCUCUGUUUCUCUCUUUUUUAUUGAAACUUUAAUUUCUUUUCCGACUUUUCUCACAAUGUAUUUUCUCAUAAUUUUAUUUCAUUUCAUUUGGCAAUUACUUUUGAAAUUUCGUUUCAUGCUCAGAAGCUGAGCUGAGCCACGCUGCUGAUGCGCUGAGCACUGGAAAUCCAACAAGUUUGAAGCAUCAGGAAGAAUGAAACAGCAUAAUGACCAUCACGAGGGACGAGACCAACAACUUUUUCUCCUUCUCAUACCCAUUUGCAUCCCUAUUAACAUUACAUUCCUAUUAACAUAACAAAGUUGGGUAUUUGGUAUUUUCACUAAAAUAAUCAACCUUUAUGAGCUACUUUUGUUAUUGUUUGCUUUAGUUUUUCAACUACACACUUGUGUUCUCAAAGUGAAUAACCUGUGAUGAUGGAUGUAAGCAUAAAAGGAGGUGUAGCUGGUGGAAGCAUUCUGAGGAAAAGGAUUAGAGAAGGAACUUCAUAGCUUACUUCCUCCAUACGUGUCGAAUGGAAUUAGAGUCACACCUCCUCCAUACGGCAUCGAUAUUACAUGGCUCAAAGCAAAGAUGAUUGGCAAUGUAAGUUCCAUGUCACCUUGAUGAUAAAUAUUCAAGGUUCUGUUUUUCAUUAUCUUUUAUCUCUUCAUGUUUCUAGUUUUUUUCUUCAGGUUUUGAGGUGUUUCAAUUUAGUUAAAUAUAUAUAUAUAUUUUAAUUUUAAUUUUUCUUCAUGUUUUUUGUGUUGUUAAUUCAUUUUGUGCAUCAAGGUUUCUUACGUAGUGUUGUUUUCCAGAUGUGAGUUUCACUUCUAACAUUUAAUCUGACCACUUCCUUCUCACUUUUAUUUUCCAAAUCAGAGUUUCAAUUUUAACAGUUUUGGACCCGCGAUCUAUAACUCUUCAUUAUUGUUGCUACUUAUUUUUUGUUUUUUAGAUUUAAUCUGACCACUUCCUUCUCACUUUUAUUUUUUAUUUUUCAGAUAUUUGACCACUUCCUUCUCACUUUUUUCCGUUCAGAGUUUCACUCAACAAGUUUAAUCUGACCACUUCCUUCUCAUUUUUAUUUUCUACACAAUUACUUGUUUUUGUUCCUAGUUGUUCCAUACACUUAGUCUUACUCUCUUAUUAUUGAUGCGGUGAGACUUGGAAUGAGACUUGGAUUUCUGGCAAUCCCUUUGAUUAUGUAAGAAAGCCCCAGUAUCUCGUUUACCUUCUCAGUACAAACUCUUGUUUAAUUUUUAGGUUUGGAUUUCAAUACUAAAACUCAGGAUUGUUUUAGAUUGUUUGGGUUAGUUGUUUGGGUUAGUAUGUGUUUCAUGUAAAAGUUUGUAUUGUCUUGGAAAGUUAAACUUUUUCAUAAAUUGUGAAAUUUUAUUCCAACUAACAUCUAAGUAAUCAAGUCUUAAAAUUUAAAUUCAAAUUCAACUAACACUUUUAGUAUAAUUCAAAUGAUCUGUAUAAAAAAAAUAAAAUAUAAAACAAAUUAGCCCAAAUUCUCCUACCCAAUUUUACCCCAAGAAUUUUGGAUCGUCCAAAGCCAAUAGGAAAAAAUACUGUUUUGGACAAUUCAAAAUUCAUAGGGUAAAGUUGAGCUGCAGUAGAAUUUGUCAUAAUUCGUUUUAGUUUUUGAUACGCUAUCAAUGACAAUUUGAAUUAUUCAUGUAAAAGAUCUUAGUUGAAUUUGAAUUUCCAGACUUUAUUACAGAACAUAAAAAGUGUUAGUUGGAAGACAAUUUACUUAAUUACAGAACAAAAAAAGUGUUAGUUGGAAGACAAUUUACUUAAUUACAUUACAAAAAAGGUAUUAGUUGGAAGACAGGUAACUUUCCAACUUAUCCAUAAUGUAUAUGUUAAUUCAAAUAUAAUCCAAUUAAUACAUUCCACAAGAGUUUGUAUUGAGAAGGUAGCAGAACUAGAAAAAGUAUUGGCCGAAGCCUUCAUUGAUAGUGUCGAAGCCUUCUAUGACAGUAGACAAUGCCUCUGAAACACAUCAUUGGAUGAUAGUAGAACCACAAUCCGGGAAAGUCUCCCAUGCCGGAACUGGUGCUCAAGUUGUGCCACAAGGUUGCAGUUUGCUGGAGAGGAGAUUUAGGAGAAAAUGGGAGUGAUUUCAGUUGAGUUGCUGAAGAAUCAGUUUAAGCUGCUGAAGAAUCGGAGAGACGUUGGAGAUGGUACUGAAGUGUGACUGGAUCGUGGGAAAAAUUCUAAGAAAAUAACGCAAGUGGCGGGGGGCCACUUGCUAAAGGGACGGACGCCCUCUUUCUUUUAUUUCUUUUUCUUCUUUUUCUUCAAAAUAGCUUAGGUGCGGGGGCCACCAAGGGAGGGACGGACGUCACUUUCUUCUCUUCUUCAUUUUCAUCUUAGGCACGUGGGGUGGGCGUCCCGACUUUCUUUCUUUAUUAUUUUUUUCCACUUCUUUUCUUUAAUAAAUAAUGGGUCUCCAAUCGAGCUUUUGCAUUUCUUCAUUUCUUCACCGAAUAAUUCUUUGAAAAUACUUUAUUUCUUCUUCUUUUUAAUCGAACUCGAGAAAAAUUAAAUAUGUGAAAUAAAACGAGAAUACCGGCAUAAUACUAAAAUAAAACAAUAUAAUUAAUAUAAAAUAAAGACAUAAUUUAUGUUAAUUGAAUCAAAUAAUACGAUAUAUUUUCAUGUUAUCAAACUCCCCUAUACUUGAACCUUUGUUUGUCCUCAAGAA